rnacentral:rRNA from 1 species
ACCAGACUCCUACGGGAGGCAGCAGUGGGGAAUAUUGCACAAUGGGGGAAACCCUGAUGCAGCGACGCCGCGUGAGUGAAGAAGUAUUUCGGUAUGUAAAGCUCUAUCAGCAGGGAAGAAAAUGACGGUACCUAAUUAAGAAGCCCCGGCUAACUACGUGCCAGCAGCCGCGGUAAUACGUAGGGGGCAAGCGUUAUCCGGAUUUACUGGGUGUAAAGGGAGCGUAGACGGCAGAGCAAGUCUGAAGUGAAAGCCCGGGGCCCAACUGCGGGACUGCUUUGGAAACUGCCCGGCUAGAGUGCUGGAGAGGUAAGCGGAAUUCCUAGUGUAGCGGUGAAAUGCGUAGAUAUUAGGAGGAACACCAGUGGCGAAGGCGGCUUACUGGACAGUAACUGACGUUGAGGCUCGAAAGCGUGGGGAGCAAACAGGAUUAGAUACCCUCGUAA